rnacentral:rRNA from 1 species
CAAUAGCGUAUAUUUAAGUUGCUGCAGUUAAAAAGCUCGUAGUUGGAUUUCGGGUGGGAAUGGCCGGUCCGCCGCUUCGGUGUGCACUUGCUACGCCCACCUUGCUGCCGGGGACGUGCUCUUGAGUUCACGCUCGGGACACGGAGUCGGCGAGGUUACUUUGAGUAAAUUAGAGUGUUCAAAGCAGGCCUACGCUCUGAAUACAUUAGCAUGGAAUAACACGAUAGGACUCUGGCCUAUCUUGUUGGUCUGUAGGACCGGAGUAAUGAUUAAGAGGGACAGUCGGGGCAUUCGUAUUUCAUUGUCAGAGGUGAAAUUCUUGGAUUUAUGAAAGACGAACUACUGCGAAAGCAUUUGCCAAGGAUGUUUUCAUUAA